rnacentral:rRNA from 1 species
GGGGAAUUUUGGACAAUGGGGGAAACCCUGAUCCAGCCAUCCCGCGUGUGCGAUGAAGGCCUUCGGGUUGUAAAGCACUUUUGGCAGGAAAGAAACGUCGCGGGUUAAUACCCCGCGGAACUGACGGUACCUGCAGAAUAAGCACCGGCUAACUACGUGCCAGCAGCCGCGGUAAUACGUAGGGUGCAAGCGUUAAUCGGAAUUACUGGGCGUAAAGCGUGCGCAGGCGGUUCGGAAAGAAAGAUGUGAAAUCCCAGAGCUUAACUUUGGACCGGCAUUUUUACCUCCGGGGCAGGGGGGUGUAGAGGGGGGGUGGAAUUCCGCGGUAGGAGGGAAAUUGGGAGAUUAUGGGGGGAAAAACCGUGGGGGAGGGCGGCCCCCGGGAAAAACCUUACCGUUAAUGAAGAAAGGCGUGGGAGCAAACA